GCUAAACAUCAAAGACCAAAAAAAAAAAAAAUAAAUUAAAAAGCAGCCAGGGGUCUAAGGACCUACAAAGGAACAAUUAGACCGAGAGUUGACCCAUGACCCCUAAACAAAAAUAGGAGCCAGAAGACAUGGCAGCAUAGCCCAAGUGCAAGAAAAUAGCUGUCAACCCAUAACUGUGUACCCAGCAUCCAAAAUCAUAAAUUAUAUAUUUUUCUCAAACACAGAAGGUACAUGUGCAAAACCUGACCACAUAGAUCUUAAAGUCUCAACAAAUUUCAAAUAAUCACCACCUGUUUUGAUUACAAUGCAAAUAGACAUUUAAAAAAGAGGGGCAGCGAGCGUGGAGCCAGGCGCUUCAGAGCCGACCCCAAGGCUCUGCGGCACUCAGUCGGACCCAGUCACCCAGGCACCGCCCAUGCCCCGUGGCUGGCCGCCAUAGUCUCCUGGGCCGCCCAGAGGAGCCAGCUCCAUGCAUCCCCCGAGGAGGCCACUCCUAGGGGUCAGGAGCGGGGAGGCGAAGUGCGAGAGACCCAGGACCCCAGCACAGCCUCUUCCCACCGCCCGAACCACCAUAAACCUGAACACUUCAACAAGGGCCCUUCCUACAGAUUCUCGGCUGAGGUCAAGAACAAGAUUGCUUCCAAGUAUGAUCAUUAGGCAGAAGAUCUUCGCAAUUAUAGAAGAGGUGACAGGCAUGAGCACUGGCACCAACUUCCAGCUGGGCUUAAAGGAUCGCAUCAUACUCUGCAAACUCAUAAACAAGCUACAGCCAGGCUCAGUGAAGAAGGUCAACGAGUCCUCAUUGAACUGGCCUCAGCUGGAGAAUACUGGCAACUUUAUUAAAGCUAUUCAGGCUUACGGAACGAAGCCACAUGACAUAUUUGAAGCAAAUGAUCUUUUUGAGUAUGGAAACAUGACCCAGGUUCAGAGACUCUAGUGACUGUGGCAGGUCUGGCUAAAACAAAAGGAUUCCAUACAACCACUGACAUUGGAGUUAAGUAUGCAGAAAAACAAACAAGAUGUUUUGAUGAAGGAAAAUUAAAAGCUGCAAAGUGUAAUUAGUCUGCAGAUGGAAACCAACAAAUGUGCCAGCCAGGAAGGUAUGACAGCUUAUGGGACUAGGAGGCAUCUUUAUGAUCCCAAAAUGCAAACUGACAAACCUUUUGACCAAACCGCAAUAAGUCUGCAGACAGGCACUAACAAAGAAGCCAGCCCCGCAAGGAUGUCUGGUACUCAUCAGGUACCAGAAGAGACAUGUAUGAUCAGAAGCCAACAUUACAGCCAGUGGACAACUCGACAAUUUCUCUACAGAUGGGUACCAACAAAGUUGCUUCCCAGAGAGGAAUGAGUGUGUUAUGGGCUUGGGCAGCAAGUAUAUGAUUCCAAAUACUGUGCUGCUCCAACAGAACCUGUCAUUCACAACGGAAGCCAAGGAACAGGAACAAAUGGUUCAGUAAUCAGUGAUAGUGAUUACCAGGCAGAAUACCCUGAUGAGUAUCAUGGCAAGUACCAGGAUGACUAUCCCAGAGAUUACCCAUAUAGCAACCAAGGCAUUCAUAAUUAGAUUCACACAGAAGGAGCUCAGUAUUUAGUCUAUUGUUUUUAUUCAGUGAGGACCAAGCUAGCCUUGAGUAAUUUUUAUCUUGUCUUCCUAAAACACUAUUAGGCUUAUUAUAUUUUUAAGAAAAAUUGACUUACAUACAUUCCUUUUUCUGCCUCUUCCCUCAAUAGUUGCCUUUUAGUGCCAUAGCAGUUAAAUCCUACAGCAUAACCAGUAACUUGCAUAUGAAGUAAAAAGGAAUACUGUGAAAGGAGAAUACUCUUGUACAGCCAGUUCUUUUAUGCAAAAAUCUAUGCAUUUUUACAAUCUUACAUUAAACUGGUAUUUUCAAACAAUAGGAAACUUUUUUUUUUUUUUUUUUUUUUUUACAGAUUAGUGUAUCUGGUUUCUACAUGGAAGACUAAACUCAUGCCUAUUGCUAAAUGUGGUCUUUGCCAACUAAAUCUAAGAUGCAGCAUUUUAGAAAUUUACAUAUCAAUGUUUCUACAGUAUUGUUUGCUAAUUUUUAAAUAAAGUCAUGAUCAGUGUGCA